rnacentral:rRNA from 1 species
GAAAUUCGCCUUCAUGAAGCCGGAAUUGCUAGUAAUGGCAGGUCAGCAUACUGCCGUGAAUACGUUCCCGGGCCUUGUACACACCGCCCGUCACACCAUGAGAGUUGGGAAUACCCGAAGCCUGUGAGCUAACAUUAAGAGGCAGCAGUCGAAGGUAGAAUCAAUGAUUGGGGUGAAGUCGUAACAAGGUACC